rnacentral:rRNA from 1 species
UGUAUGGCCAAGCUACUAAGAGCAAACGGUGGAUGCCUUGGCGUCGGAAGGCGAUGAAAGACGUGGCUAGCUGCGAUAAGCCUCGGGGAGCCGCUAAACAGGCUUUGAUCCGGGGAUGUCUGAAUGGGGGAACCCAAUUGCCGUAAUGGGCAAUUAUCCUUAGCUGAAUACAUAGGCUAAGGAGGCGAACGAGGGGAACUGAAACAUCUAAGUACCCUCAGGAAAAGAAAGCAAUAGCGAUUCCCAUAGUAGCGGCGAGCGAACUGGGAUGAGCCUAAACCGGAUAUAUGUCAAGCCUGCCAGCGUUGUAUAUGCGGUGUUGCGGGGCUUUAUUGGACGGGUUGGCGGACCCGUCGGGAAGUUACCAAUUUAAUUCGUAGUUGAAUGGUCUGGAAAGGCCGACCACAGAAGGUGACAGUCCUGUAAGCGAAACGAAUUAGACUUCCUGGAUAGAGUUCCCAAGUACCGCGGGACACGAGAAAUCCUGCGGGAAUCUGGAAGGACCAUCUUCCAAGGCUAAAUACUAACCGACGACCGAUAGUGGACAAGUACCGUGAGGGAAAGGUGAAAAGCACCGGGGGACCGGAGUGAAAUAGUACCUGAAACCGUUUGCUUACAAGCUGUGGAAGGACUAUGUCGCGCUUUCGGGCGUGACAGUCUGACUGCGUGCCUUUUGCAUAAUGAGUCAGCGACUUACUCUAUGUAGCCAGGUUAAGCCGAACGAGGUGGAGCCGUAGCGAAAGCGAGUCUUAAUAUGGCGUAUUAGUUACAUGGAGUAGACCCGAAGCCAGGUGAUCUAUCCAUGACCAGGGUGAAGUUUCGGUAACACGAAAUGGAGGCCCGAACCCACUAACGUUGAAAAGUUAGGGGAUGAGUUGUGGAUAGGAGUGAAAGGCUAAUCAAACCUGGAAAUAGCUGGUUCUCCCCGAAAUAUAUUUAGGUAUAGCCUUGCAGAUUACGCAACGGGGGUAGAGCACUGGAUGGGCUAGGGGUCCUACCAGAUUACCAACCCCAACCAAACUCCGAAUACCGUUGACGCUUACUGCAGGAGUCAGUCUACGGGUGAUAAGAUCCGUGGUCGAAAGGGAAACAACCCAGAUCGCCAGCUAAGGUCCCUAAAUAUGUGCUAAGUGUUAAAGGAUGUGGAAACGCCCAGACAACCAGGAGGUUGGCUUAGAAGCAGCCAUCCUUUAAAGAAAGCGUAAUAGCUCACUGGUCAAGUGACUCUGCGCCAAAAAUUCACGGGGCUAAGCACAUUACCGAAGCUGCGGGAUGUCCGCCUCUGGCGGAAAUCGGUAGGGGAGCAUUGUAGCCACCUGCGAAGCCGGACCGUGAGGACCGGUGGAGGAACUACAAGAGCGUAUGCUGACAUAAGUAGCGAUAAUGCAGGUGAGAAACCUGCACGCCGUAAGCCUAAGGUUUCCUGAGUAAAGUUAAUCUUCUCAGGGUUAGUCGAUCCCUAAGCCGAGGCCAAUUGGCGUAGGCGAUGGAAAACAGGCGAAUAUUCCUGUACCACCUUGCGAACGUUUGAGUGAAGGGGGGACGUAGAAGGGUAGGUCAUCCGGGUGUUGGAUGUCCCGGUUCAAGCCGGUAGGCGGGUCCGUUAGGCAAAUCCGAUGGACUGUUAACGCCGAGAGGUGAUGAGGAGAGUUUUUAACUCACAAACUGACUGAUCCCAGGCUACCAAGAAAAGCCUCGUAGCGAGUUCGUAGGGUGAUCGUACCGCAAACCGACACAGGUAGGCGAGGAGAGUAUCCUAAGGCGCUUGAGAGAACUCUGGUUAAGGAACUCGGCAAAAUGAUACCGUAACUUCGGGAGAAGGUAUGCCCCCACGUAGGUGAAGAAAUUCGCUUUUGGAGCCGAAGGGGGUUGCAGAGAAAUGGCGGUGGCGACUGUUUAAUAAAAACACAGGACUCUGCUAAGUCGAAAGACGACGUAUAGGGUCUGACGCCUGCCCGGUGCUGGAAGGUUAAGGGGAUUUGUUAGUCCAUUUCGGUGGGCGAAGCUUUGAACCGAAGCCCCAGUAAACGGCGGCCGUAACUAUAACGGUCCUAAGGUAGCGAAAUUCCUUGUCGGGUAAGUUCCGACCUGCACGAAUGGCGUAACGACCUCCGCGCUGUCUCAACCAGGGACUCAGCGAAAUUGUAACACCGGUGAAGAUGCCGGUUACCCGCAACAAGACGGAAAGACCCCGUGCACCUUUACUACAGCUUGAUAUUGGAUUUUGAGCUAACAUGUGUAGGAUAGGUGGGAGGCGAUGAAACUGGGACGCUAGUCUCGGUGGAGCCAACCUUGAAAUACCACCCUUGUUAUCUUAGAGUUCUAAUCCCGACCAGUUAGCCUGGCGGGAGACAGUGUCUGGUGGGUAGUUUGACUGGGGCGGUCGCCUCCCAAAGAGUAACGGAGGCGCGCGAUGGUUCCCUCAGGCUGAUUGGAAACCAGCCGUAGAGUGUAAAGGCAUAAGGGAGCUUGACUGCGAGAGAGACAUCUCGAGCAGGUACGAAAGUAGGUCUUAGUGAUCCGGCGAUUCCGCAUGGAAGGGUCGUCGCUCAACGGAUAAAAGGUACUCCGGGGAUAACAGGCUUAUCUCCCCCAAGAGUCCACAUCGACGGGGAGGUUUGGCACCUCGAUGUCGGCUCAUCACAUCCUGGGGCUGGAGCAGGUCCCAAGGGUU